rnacentral:rRNA from 1 species
ACGGGAGGCAGCAGUGAGGAAUAUUGGACAAUGGAUGGAAGUCUGAUCCAGCCAUGCCGCGUGAAGGAUUGAUGCCCUACGGGUUUUGAACUUCUUUUGUACGGGGGCAAUAAGGGCCACGCGUGGCCCGAUGAGAGUACCGUACGAAUAAGCGUCGGCUAACUCCGUGCCAGCAGCCGCGGUAAUACGGAGGAUGCGAGCGUUAUCCGGAUUUAUUGGGUUUAAAGGGUGCGUAGGCGGGCUAUUAAGUCAGCGGUCAAAUCGUGUUGCUCAACAAUACUUAGCCGUUGAAACUGGUGGUCUUGAGUGUAAAUGAGGUAGGCGGAAUGUGACGUGUAGCGGUGAAAUGCUUAGAUAUGUCACAGAACCCCGAUUGCGAAGGCAGCUUACCAAGAUACAACUGACGCUGAGGCACGACAGCGUGGGUAUCAAACAGGAUUAGAUACCCUGGUA